ACAGCCAGUGAGCGGGCAAUCAUCAUUUUAAAUCCUAUAUUUUGACUAGAGAGCUAUGCUGGUGAAGUAACUUUGUUUUUUUACUCGUGCAGGAGAUAUGCACAGCCGAUACAUUCCUCAGCAAGAUUACUUCUCAGAGGGACUCUACACGUUCGAUAUUGGGCAGAAUGACCUUGCUGAGCUUCCUAUGCCUCUUUCCCCAAAGCUGACUAAUUGGUGUACAGGGAUCCUACUCUGAUGUAAAUAAACUGUAUGACCAAGGUGCUAGCAAGUUCUGGAUUCACAACACAGGCCCCCUCGGCUGCUUGCCUCAAAACAUCGCCCUGUUCGGCAAAGACCCAUCCCAACUGGA